CUCCAAGUAUACUUGUUGUAAUGAUUUAACACCACAUUUUGCCUCUAAUGGCUGGAGUCGUGUAAAAGCUGAAAGAAUGUCCAACUAAAUCAGCCACAGUCACGCUCUGCUCUGCUUCUCUUUCAGCUGUAUUAUCUCAGGGGGAAAGAUCAGAAAAUGAGGUCAGCUAUGCAGAAACUGAAGCACAAACUGGAGGAGAUAGUCUUACGAAGUAAGGAUGAAGAAACACUGAAGGAUCUAAGAAAGGAGCAACGAGAGUUACAGAAGCAGCUGGAUACCAGACAGGAAAACGAACCUCUGCAAGCAACGCGAUCAUUUAUGCUGGUUUAAAAUAUAGAGUCUCAGUUACUCAGUGACACCAUUAACCAGGAAGUAACAUGAACUGAAACUACUCUCAGUGCAGCACGCUCCAGUCUUUGAUGACCAAAUCUCUGUUUCUAUUGUACUCUGAGUUUUUCACUUUCACAGAGCUGCACUGCAAUUCCAAGAGGAGUCCAGGAGAAACACAAAAUAUGAUGCCACAAAUAAGAUACAACAUUACAACAUUUGGGCACAGAAUGAAAAGACAAAGAUGAGGUGAUUUAUACUGUAAUGUAAAGACCCAACGAUGAUACAGGGAACACAGAAAACAAAAAACCCAACAAUAAGAUGACCCUCGAGUGUUACUUCAAAACACUGAAAACAACUUUCCACUUGGCGACGGCAGGAAGGAAAUUUAUUUUAUGCAAAGGAUGUUGAAGAUGGAGCUGCCAGGCAGGCAGAAAGAGGAAGACCAGAGAGAAAGCUCAUGGAUGAGGUGAAGGAGGACAUGCAGAGGGUUGGUGUAACAGAAGACGGUUGGAGGGAUAAGGUGUGACCGAGGCAAAGGAUCUACUAUGGUGGCCCGUAAUGGGAGCAACUAUAAAAAGAAGAAGAAGAAGACCCUCUCUCCUUAAUAACAUCCUAACUCUCCACCAUUCAAACCAUUCUAGGACACUCUUCCAUAAUUAUAUUGUCAUGUAUUUGUUCCAUUCAUAUGCUAGCUUUUACAACACUGUUUUGAACUAACGGGGCUAAUAACUAAUGAGGCUUUAGACUGAAGCAUUUAUAUCUGCUUCAUAUUAGCUGAAAUAAGACCUUAUUUCUGAGGAACACAUGAGAACAUUUGGUGAUUUCAGUCUUUAAUAAAAUAUAAAUUAUUUACAAUUUAUUAUCUGUGAUACACCUUUCAGAUGGGUAUGUUUCACAGUGUUAUUCCUCCCUCAUUUAUGUGUAUACCAGUGUGUUUAUUGUGGCACCAUUGAAUCAAAGACCUGUGCAAACUAUCACACAAUGUUUUUGGUGUGACAUAAAAAAUUGGAUUUCUCUAAAAAUUAAUGACGUGUCACUAGCUAAGUUCAUUUUGCACAUUAAGCUCCUUUGUACAUCCACAUCGACACCUGCAUACCUCACUUGUCUUCACUUACUUAUUUUUGUACUUAUUUAUUUAUCUUGUUCCUUCAACCUAACUUGGCAUUUGUGUUUGGACAGCAAAGGAAGAAUUUCAUUGCACAGAGAAAUGCUAUUUCUUCUGUACA